GAUGAACGCUGGCGGCGUGCUUAACACAUGCAAGUCGAACGGAAAGGCCCAAGCUUGCUUGGGUACUCGAGUGGCGAACGGGUGAGUAACACGUGGGUGAUCUGCCCUGCACUUCGGGAUAAGCCUGGGAAACUGGGUCUAAUACCGGAUAGGACCACAUUUUGGCUGGUGUGGUGGAAAGUUUUUCGGUGUGGGAUGAGCUCGCGGCCUAUCAGCUUGUUGGUGGGGUAAUGGCCUACCAAGGCGUCGACGGGUAGCCGGCCUGAGAGGGUGUACGGCCACAUUGGGACUGAGAUACGGCCCAGACUCCGACGGGAGGCAGCAGUGGGGAAUAUUGCACAAUGGGCGCAAGCCUGAUGCAGCGACGCCGCGUGGGGGAUGACGGCCUUCGGGUUGUAAACUCCUUUCGCUAGGGACGAAGCGUUAUGUGACGGUACCUGGAGAAGAAGCACCGGCUAACUACGUG
rnacentral:rRNA from 1 species